AUUGAACGCUGGCGGCAGGCCUAACACAUGCAAGUCGAGCGGAUGACGGGAGCUUGCUCCUUGAUUCAGCGGCGGACGGGUGAGUAAUGCCUAGGAAUCUGCCUGGUAGUGGGGGACAACGUUUCGAAAGGAACGCUAAUACCGCAUACGUCCUACGGGAGAAAGCAGGGGACCUUCGGGCCUUGCGCUAUCAGAUGAGCCUAGGUCGGAUUAGCUAGUUGGUGGGGUAAUGGCUCACCAAGGCGACGAUCCGUAACUGGUCUGAGAGGAUGAGCAGUCACACUGGGGCUGGGACACGGGCCAGACUCCUACGGGAGGCAGCAGUGGGGAAUAUUGGACAAUGGGCGAAAGCCUGAUCCAGCCAUGCCGCGUGUGUGAAGAAGGUCUUCGGAUUCUAAAGCACUUUAAGUUGGGAGGAAGGGCAGUAAGUUAAUACCUUGCUGUUUUGACGUUACCGACAGAAUAAGCACCGGCUAACUCUGUGCCAGCCGCCGCAGUAA
rnacentral:rRNA from 1 species